rnacentral:rRNA from 1 species
UACGAAGGGGGCUAGCGUUGCUCGGAAUGACUGGGCGUAAAGGGCGCGUAGGCGGCUUGCACCGUCAGAUAUGAAAUUCCUGGGCUUAACCUGGGGGCUGCAUUUGAUACGUGUGGGCUUGAGUGCGGAAGAGGGUCGUGGAAUUCCCAGUGUAGAGGUGAAAUUCGUAGAUAUUGGGAAGAACACCGGUGGCGAAGGCGGCGACCUGGUCCGUGACUGACGCUGAGGCGCGAAAGCGUGGGGAGCAAACAGG